AUUUAUUGAGCGUAAGGAGGAGCAGCAUGAGAGGCAGCUCCGCACGGCAAGGUCAGUAAAUCAAUAAAUAUAUCCUUUAGACUGAUAUAGUUGUUUUGCAGGUUGUUUUUUGUUUUGCAGGCAUGAUUCUGUCGCUUCGGCCAGAACCCGAUUCGGAUAACGAAUCCACGCAUUCUGUUGCUUCGGCCAGAAUCAAACCAAGAAUUAUGUUGUCG
rnacentral:lncRNA from 1 species